rnacentral:tRNA from 2 species
CAAGAAGUAGUUUAAAUAAAAUAUUAAUUUUGGAGAUUAAUGAUAAAGAUUUCUCUUUUUUCUUGA